GUUCCAGGGCUGUGUCUACUGAAUUGUCUGUCAUCAUGUUUAGUCUUUGAAUUUACUUAAUAUUGACUAAUUUUCUCCUUUUAAAGAAUUUUAGCCAGGGGGAAGCUCAUAGUUCUUUCCACAGCUCCAUUUGGGCAGUUUGAUUACUUUCAAUAUGUGUAUGGUUUGGCAUUCCUGAUUUGUUAAUGUUUAUAAAUAGGGAGAAAAGGAAAAGCUUUUAUAUGAAAAUAAACAAUUUGAGAAGAUUGCUGAAGAAUUAAAAGGAACAGAACAAGAACUAAUUGGUCUUCUCCAAGCCAGAGAGAAAGAAGUACAUGAUUUGGAAAUACAGUUAACUGCCGUUACCACAAGUGAACAGUAUUAUUCAAAAGAGGUUAAAGAUCUGAAAACUCAGCUUGAAAAUGAGAAGCUUAAGAAUACUGAAUUAACUUCACACUGCAACAAGCUUUCACUAGAAAACAAAGAGCUCACACAGGAAACAAGUGAUAUGACCCUAGAACUCAAGAAUCAGCAAGAAGAUAUUAAUAAUAACAAAAAGCAAGAAGAAAGGAUGUUGAAACAAAUAGAAAAUCUGGAAGAAACAGAAACCCAAUUAAGAAAUGAACUGGAAUAUGUGAGAGAAGAGCUAAAACAGAAAAGAGAUGAAGUUAAAUGUAAAUUGGACAAGAGUGAAGAAAAUGUAUGUUAUAUUUAAUAAUGGAUUGUAUCACAAAAUUUCAAAUCAUAAAAGCAACACCAUAUGUCUAAACUAAAAUAAAGGGAAGUAUACUGUUGUAUAAAUAA
rnacentral:sRNA from 1 species